ensembl:lncRNA
AGAUAAGAUGAGGAAACCUUCCCUUCAGGGACAAAGCAGGGGCACUCAGAAGCCUGGUCCUGCCUUAAAAAAAGGGAAAAAGAGCCAGCCUCCUGAUUUCGCCCUGACAUCGGCUGAAUCUGAAACCACUUGGCCCAAAUUGGACUCUUUAGGGUCACAAACAGUGAAGAAAAAGUGGAGGAAACACCACGUGGGAGGUUCCUGGGUUGAUUUACCCCUGUCUUCAGCUGUGUGACCUCAGGCAAGAAUAAGCAGCUGACAAGUUGGAAGCAACGAUGGGGGGUGGGCCUGGCGACACAGCUGCGGAGUCCCUUCCUCCCCCUGGAACCACCUUCAGCUGCUGCAGAUCUCUUUCCAGGAAGGCUGCUUCUCCUUUCCCUCCAGCCUAGAUCUGAAACUCAGUGAUGAAUUUCUGCUGCUUUCAGAAACAAUUCAAGUUUCCCUUGUGUAUUUCACGGCAAGAAAAGAAACUCAUUCAGAUCACCUGCUCUGCUCUCCUCCUUGCAGUGGGAAGGACCGGUCCGUCCUGAGAUGCCCUCUGCGAUGGAAGGCUCUGGAUGGCUGCAUCACAAGGACUAAGGUUGGAGAGAUGCCGCCUGGACCAGGAGGAAAUGAGUGAGCCAGAGAAGCAUCCUCAACUUUCCGAUCACCAUGGUGACCCCUGUUUAUUGAAUACAUGCCACUGGCCAGGCACUGUUCUCAGCCCCUUAGAAACUCUGACAUUUUUCAUCCUGGCUACAACCCCACUUAGUUGGGACUAUUGUUAUCUCCAUUCUGCGGAGAAGAAAACUAAAGUUCCAAGAGGUUAAGUCACUCAGACAGAAGACUGAAGACCUCAAGCAGACCCUGAAGCCAGGCUCCCCAUCACUUCCUUCCAUUGCCCUUCAGCCUCUGAUAGUAGAAGCAGAAGAGGCCAGAUACCAGAGCUUACAAGAUGGGACGGGAAGGAAGGAGUAGAUUUUAUAGAUCCUCCAGGAGGGUUAAAAAAAAAAAAAUGCUAGCAGGGCUUGGUUUAUGUGUGAUUAGUGUCCCAUAUAACUAAUUACACUGGGACAAGAAGGGGAAGCCAGACAAGUCUGGGCCACCCCCCCCAGAUGGAGAGGAAUGACCAGAGACCUUAGCAGCCCAAUGCCUGUGACACAGCAAAAAGAGAAAUUGCAGGUGGUUGAGAUGGUCAACUUGAGUGCAGGUCACAUCUGCACACCUGAUCAGGGUACUAAUGACCCCACUCAGAUGUCAUAGAAGCAAACCUGGGGUCUCCAAUCACCUGACCCCAAAGCCUUUUGACCAGUGUAUCAAUUAGAGGCAGCCAGAGCAAUGGAGCCUAUAGUAGGAGAUACAGAUUUAUUGUAAGGCAACAGCCUACAUGGUUUUGAGGGCUGCUGGCUGGGCAAAGUUGAAAUAUACUGGUCCACUGGGCCAGACUAUCAUCCCCUGCUUUUCAAUGAAACCUACAUCCAGAGGUUGCAGAAAAACCUGCUGGGAAGGUAUUUUAAUAGAAGUGAUCAAAGUUCACCAUCUGUUGAGUUUAUUUUAUUCUUUUGGCCAUAUUAUAGCAUGUGGGAUCUUGGUUCCCCAACCAGAGGUUGAACCCAUGACCCCUGCAAUGGAAGUGCCGUCCUAGCCACUGGACCACAGGAAAUUCCUCAUCAGUUGAGUUUAAGUAAAGGAGAUUAUCCUCAAUAAUGUGGGUGAGCCUCAUCCAAAGAGGUGAAAGGUCAUAAGAAUAAGAUUUCCAGCCUGCUGUGUGGAUUUCAAGCUUGCCCAGCCAGCAGCCUUCAAAACCAUGUAGGCUGUUGCCUUACAAUAAGUCUCCAUCUCCUACUAUAGGCUCCAUUUCUCUGGCUGGGCCCUAACUGAUGCACUGGUCAAAAGGCUUUGGGGUCAGGAGAUCCCAGUUUUGCUUGUAUGACAUCCAAGUGGGGUCAUCAGUACCCUGUUCAGGUAUGCAGAUAUGACCUGCACAAAGUCACUUAGCUUUGGAGGGAAACGGGCUUCAGUCUAGCCCCUACCUUACUCCCAAGUUAUCCUUCCUGGCCUGGAUCUGUGUCUGCCCCUUACUCCAGUUUGCACAAAUCUCAUUCCAGCAAAUGGUGUGUUCCCCUCUGAGAGGUUUCACCUUUUCCUACUUCACACAAGCACCUAUGUUGUGGACCCCCUUGGAUAGGUUAUUAAAUCCUUCUGAGUGUCGUCUCCUCAUCUAUAAGAUGGGAGUUAUAUCCUCAAAAUGGAGAGGGUUAUAU